UACGUAGGGUGCGAGCGUUAAUCGGACUUACUGGGCGUAAAGCGUGCGCAGGCGGUUUUGUAAGGCAGGGGUGAAAUCCCCGGGCUCAACCUGGGAAUGGCAUUUGGGACUGCAAGGCUGGAGUGUGGCAGAGGAGACUGGAAUUCCUGGUGUAGCAGUGAAAUGCGUAGAUAUCAGGAGGAAUACCGAUGGCGAAGGCAGGUCUCUGGGCUGACACUGACGCUCAUGCACGAAAGCGUGGGGAGCAAACAGG
rnacentral:rRNA from 1 species